CCUACGGGAGGCAGCAGUGAGGAAUAUUGGUCAAUGGGCGAGAGCCUGAACCAGCCAAGUAGCGUGCAGGAUGACGGCCCUAUGGGUUGUAAACUGCUUUUAUAAGGGAAUAAAGUGAGUCUCGUGAGGCUUUUUGCAUGUACCUUAUGAAUAAGGACUGGCUAAUUCCGUGCCAGCAGC
rnacentral:rRNA from 1 species